rnacentral:misc_RNA from 1 species
UAAUAAGUGUUUUAUGGCACUUUUUAAAAUCCAUAUCCACCUUGUGUGCAAUGUUAUCUCACUACGAGAAGGGUCUUUCGAGAUUCUUUUUGCUUUGAGAUUAUAUAACAACCUAUCUUUAACCAGUUUGUCUGAAAAAUAUUAUGAAUACUUAAUUCAAAAUA